GGCGAAAGCCGGAUAAUACCGCAUACGAUCUACUGAAAGCGGGGGAUCUUCCGCGCUAUAGGGUUGGCCGAUGGCUGAUUAGCUAGUUGGUGGGGUAAAGGCCUACCAAGGCGCGAUCAGUAGCUGGUCUGAGAGGACGACCAGCCACACUGGGACAGACACGGCCCAGACUCCUACGGGAGGCAGCAUGGGGAAUUUUGGACAAUGGGCGAAAGCCUGAUCCAGCAAUGCCGCGUGUGUGAAGAAGGCCUUCGGGUUGUAAAGCACUUUUGUCCGGAAAGAAAUCCUGAGGGCUAUAUCCUUCGGGGAUGACGGUACCGGAAGAAUAAGCACCCUAACUACGUGCCAGCAGCCGCGGUAUACGUAGGGUGCGAGCGUUAAUCGGAAUUACUGGGUAAAGCCAGGCGGUUUGUUAAGACCGAUGUGAAAUCCCCGGGCUCAACCUGGGAACUGCAGUGACUGGCAAGCUAGAGUAUGGCAGAGGGGGGAUUCCACGUGUAGCAGUGAAAUGCGUGAUGUGGAGGAAUACCGAUGGCCAGCCCGUUGCGCCAAACUGACGCUCAUGCACGAAAGGUGGGGAGACAGGAUUAGAUACCCUGGUAGUCCACGCCCUAAACGAUGUCAACUAGUUGUUGGGGAUUCAUUUCCUUAGUAACGUAGCUAACGCGUGAAGUUGACCGCCUGGGGAGUACGGUCGCAAGAUUAAAACUCAAAGGAAUUGACGGGGACCCGCACAAGCGGUGGAUGAUGUGGAUUAAUUCGAUGCAACGCGAAAAACCUUACCUACCCUUGACAUGGUCGGAAUCCCGAAGAGAUUUGGGAUGCUCGAAAAGAACCGAUACACAGGUGCUGCAUGGCUGUCGGCUCGUGUCGUGAGAUGUUGGUUAAGUCACGAGCGCAACCCUUGUCCUUAGUUGCUAACUCUAAGGAGACUGCCGGUGACCCGGAGGAAGGUGGGGAUGACUCAAGUCCUCAUGGCCCUUAUGGGUAGGGCUUCACACGUCAUACAAUGGUCGGAACUCUCGGACCCCGAUCUUCUCUGAUCUGAUCCCAGAAAACCGAUCGAGUCCGGAUUGCACUCUGCAACUCGAGGCAUGAAGCUGGAAUCGCUAGUAAUCGCGGUCAGCAUGCCGCGGUGAUACGUUCCCGGGUCUUGUAACACCGCCCGUCACACCAUGGGAGUGGGUUUUACCAGAGGCUAGUCUAACCGCAAGGAGGACGGUCACCGGUAGGAUUCAUGACUGGGGUGAAGUCGUA
rnacentral:rRNA from 1 species